rnacentral:misc_RNA from 1 species
GAUGAAGAACGUAGUGAAAUGCGAUAAGUAGUGUGAAUUGCAGAAUUCAGUGAAUCAUCGAAUCUUUGAACGCACAUUGCGCCCUUUGGUAUUCCUUAGGGCAUGCCUGUUCGAGCGUCAUUUAAACCUUCAAGCUCAGCUUGGUGUUGGGUGACUGUCCGCUUCACCGCGGACUCGCCUCAAAAUUAUUGGCGGCCGGUACAUUGGCUCUCGUGCGCAGCAGAAACGCGUAACUCGAGGUCCUCGUGCUGGCUCCCAGAAGCUAUCUUCACAAUUUUGACCUCGGAUCAGGUAGGGAUACCCGCUGAACUUAAGCAUAUCAAUAAGCGGAGGA